GUCGUACGCUUCUUUUUCCCCGGAGCUUGCUCCACCGGAAAAAGAAGAGUGGCGAACGGGUGAGUAACACGUGGGUAACCUGCCCAUCAGAAGGGGAUAACACUUGGAAACAGGUGCUAAUACCGUAUAACAAUCGAAACCGCAUGGUUUUGAUUUGAAAGGCGCUUUCGGGUGUCGCUGAUGGAUGGACCCGCGGUGCAUUAGCUAGUUGGUGAGGUAACGGCUCACCAAGGCCACGAUGCAUAGCCGACCUGAGAGGGUGAUCGGCCACAUUGGGACUGAGACACGGCCCAAACUCCUACGGGAGGCAGCAGUAGGGAAUCUUCGGCAAUGGACGAAAGUCUGACCGAGCAACGCCGCGUGAGUGAAGAAGGUUUUCGGAUCGUAAAACUCUGUUGUUAGAGAAGAACAAGGAUGAGAGUAACUGUUCAUCCCUUGACGGUAUCUAACCAGAAAGCCACGGCUAACUACGUGCCAGCAGCCGCGGUAAUACGUAGGUGGCAAGCGUUGUCCGGAUUUAUUGGGCGUAAAGCGAGCGCAGGCGGUUUCUUAAGUCUGAUGUGAAAGCCCCCGGCUCAACCGGGGAGGGUCAUUGGAAACUGGGAGACUUGAGUGCAGAAGAGGAGAGUGGAAUUCCAUGUGUAGCGGUGAAAUGCGUAGAUAUAUGGAGGAACACCAGUGGCGAAGGCGGCUCUCUGGUCUGUAACUGACGCUGAGGCUCGAAAGCGUGGGGAGCAAACAGGAUUAGAUACCCUGGUAGUCCACGCCGUAAACGAUGAGUGCUAAGUGUUGGAGGGUUUCCGCCCUUCAGUGCUGCAGCUAACGCAUUAAGCACUCCGCCUGGGGAGUACGACCGCAAGGUUGAAACUCAAAGGAAUUGACGGGGGCCCGCACAAGCGGUGGAGCAUGUGGUUUAAUUCGAAGCAACGCGAAGAACCUUACCAGGUCUUGACAUCCUUUGACCACUCUAGAGAUAGAGCUUCCCCUUCGGGGGCAAAGUGACAGGUGGUGCAUGGUUGUCGUCAGCUCGUGUCGUGAGAUGUUGGGUUAAGUCCCGCAACGAGCGCAACCCUUAUUGUUAGUUGCCAUCAUUUAGUUGGGCACUCUAGCAAGACUGCCGGUGACAAACCGGAGGAAGGUGGGGAUGACGUCAAAUCAUCAUGCCCCUUAUGACCUGGGCUACACACGUGCUACAAUGGGAAGUACAACGAGUCGCGAAGUCGCGAGGCUAAGCUAAUCUCUUAAAGCUUCUCUCAGUUCGGAUUGUAGGCUGCAACUCGCCUACAUGAAGCCGGAAUCGCUAGUAAUCGCGGAUCAGCACGCCGCGGUGAAUACGUUCCCGGGCCUUGUACACACCGCCCGUCACACCACGAGAGUUUGUAACACCCGAAGUCGGUGA
rnacentral:rRNA from 1 species